AGAGUUUGAUCAUGGCUCAGGACGAACGCUGGCGGCGUGCCUAAUACAUGCAAGUCGAGCGGACUGGAGAGAGCUUGCUCUCAAAGGUCAGCGGCGGACGGGUGAGUAACACGUGGGUAACCUGCCUGGCAGAUCGGGAUAACGCUUGGAAACGAGUGCUAAUACCGGAUAGUCUUUUGAACCGCAUGGUUUAAAAGGGA
rnacentral:rRNA from 1 species